rnacentral:rRNA from 1 species
UACGGGGGGAGCAAGCGUUGUUCGGAUUUACUGGGCGUAAAGGGCGCGUAGGCGGUCUUGCAAGUCCUGUGUGAAAUCCCUCGGCUCAACUGAGGAACUGCACAGGAAACUGCUUGGCUUGAGUUCGGGAGAGGGAAGCGGAAUUCCGGGUGUAGCGGUGAAAUGCGCAGAUAUCAGGAGGAACACCGGUGGCGAAGGCGGGUCUCUGGGCCACUACUGACGCUGAGAAGCGAAAGCAUGGGGAGCGAACAGG